UACGUAGGGUGCGAGCGUUAAUCGGAAUUACUGGGCGUAAAGCGUGCGCAGGCGGUUCGUUGUGUCGGCGGUGAAAGCCCCGGGCUCAACCUGGGAACUGCAUUUGUGACUGCAUGGCUAGAGUUUGGCAGAGGGGGGUAGAAUUCCACGUGUAGCAGUGAAAUGCGUAGAGAUGUGGAGGAAUACCGAUGGCGAAGGCAGCCCCCUGGGUCAAGACUGACGCUCAUGCACGAAAGCGUGGGGAGCAAACAGG
rnacentral:rRNA from 1 species